UUCGUUCCUCUACACACUCUGUUCUCUUAACUGCAAAGGUGCUUCAAGAAGAUCUCGAUCUCUCUCUCUCUCUCUCUCUCUCUCGGUAGGUUGAUUGUUUUCUGCAAUGUUUUAGAAGAGACUAUAAGUUCUGCUGCAAUGUAUGCUUUUGGCUUUUACUUAUAUAAUUUUAUAAGUUUCUGUCGGCAUUAAGAAUAUGACUUCGUGUCAAUGAUUGUGUUUGAAACGGGAAUUUAUCUUUCUAUAAGAAUUUGAUAGUACAUGGUCGAGAUUUUAAGUGGCUGGCAUUCACCUUCAAGAUGAGAUUUUUUUUAAAAAAAAAAAAAUUAGGGGGAAGGGGGGGAAUGAAAGGGCCAAAUUGUUCCUUUUCUUGUGUGCAUCACAUCCAUCAUUAACUCUGCAUUGAGUUAUACAUAUAGUUCAUCCAUCUUUAUAUUUUUUAAUUUCACAUAGAUGAGAAUGGAGAUUAAAUAGACUUCUUCUUUGCUCUGGGCUUCAGGCCGGCUUUUACAGUCAGGGACGAAACGUGCGGAUUCUAAACAGCAAUGCCGGUUCCUCCUGUCCCAUAUGCAGCUCCUCUUGUGCCAUUUAUACCACCAAACGGUAUCUCCUUACAUCCUCUGAAUUCUGUGAGCUGAAAUAAAUCUGAUUUUUUUUUUUGGAUGAUGAUAUGGGUCAUAGAUGGACUUAUUUCGAACUCUAAUUCUCAGUUAUAUUUGUCAUAGCAUGAUUUUGCAUUUCAAUUUAUGCAUAUAUACCAAAACAUAAAAUCAGAUUGAAGGCUGAGUGAGGAAUGGAAAGAGGAGCUGCUGCUGAACUCCACUGUUCAGAUAUCAGCAUACAAGAGAAUGGACAGAAGAUAGUAUACACCUUGGCAACUAAGC
rnacentral:lncRNA from 1 species